GAUGAAGAACGCAGCGAAAUGCGAUACUUGGUGUGAAUUGCAGAAUCCCGUGAACCAUCGAGUCUUUGAACGCAAGUUGCGCCCGAAGCCAUUAGGCCGAGGGCACGCCUGCCUGGGCGUCACACGUCGUUGCCCCCCCAUCUACUCCUUCGGGAUUGCGGGGGGCGGAUGAUGGCCUCCCGUGCGCCUCGUCGCGCGGUUGGCCUAAAUGCCAAGUCCUCGGCGACGCACGCCACGACAAUCGGUGGUUGCGAAACCUCGGUUGCCCGUCGUGUGCGGUCGUCGCGCAUCGAGGGCUCGAAAAAAUUGCCGGGCUUCGGCUCGACUUUCAACGCGACCCCAGGUCAGGCGGGGUUACCCGCUGAGUUUAAGCAUAUCAAUAAGCGGAGGA
rnacentral:misc_RNA from 1 species